CUAAGGGAACUGUCGGCUGUAAUGAGUGCAAAUAAAUUUCAAGUAGGCUUAAAAUUUUCCACUUUUUUGACCUGGAAAUUGCCCGAACCGAACCUCUGGCCGCAGAGCUCCUUUUGCUCCUUAAUAUUCAAUGUAACCGCAGAAAUUCAUAUACAAAAAUAACACGAGCGUUAAGAGGGGCAAAAAGUGCCAUGAAUAAAAGAGAGGCGGAUAGCCAGAGUGAAGAGAGGUGGAGAGUACACACAGAGAGAAAGAUACAUAUACACAGCGAGAAAGGCAGGGCCAGCCGAAGAAAAUCACAAGGAGGACAGGACGGACGCCUACUGAUGGCGGGCGCUGCCUUUUUGUGACGCACUCGAGGGCCCGAUGAUAAAUGUCCCUCUGCAAAGCCAUGAAAUGAAUGAAGUAUGGCCACGCAUUUCCAAAUCGGCCCCAAGGCAAACAACGGCAAAGAAAAGCCACCAAAAUGGGUCGAAAAUGGGGGAAACAGGGGAAAAACUGGGAAAAAGUCACAGCAAAUGGAGUGAGGCAGAGGUGGUUUCCUUUGAAGAAGAAACAGAAGUAGGCUACUCCAUAUCAGGCACAAGACACAGCGGACAGAGGACAUGCAGAGACCAGAGAGAGGAAAAGCCCAAAGAAAAGCCAAAGAAAAGCAAGGAAAAUCUUGACAAACUCAACGACCGAAGAGCACUGCUUGUCAUUCAACGCGCUGUCAAGCGGCGGCUUCCUUGCUGCUGCUGCUGCUGCAUCGGAUUUUUCAACGAUUUUCGAGCCAACAUUCGAGGCGAAAGUUUUUUCUGGACAACUGGACACGCACACAGACACAGACACAGACUCACACACAUAAAUAUAAGGACAUGCGAUAGCAGAGGGGCGACUUUUGACCAGCCGAAAGUUGUUUUGGCUGUUUUUCUGUUCUGUUUUCUUUUUUUUUUUGGGUUUUCCCUUCAAGUUGAUGCUUGACUUUGGCUUGUCCCAUCCAUCCAUUCCUCUGUACGGUUACUAAGCCGCUUCGAUUCCUGCGCGUGUGUGUGUGAGUGUGUGGUGGCGUGGGGCGUGGCGAACGCAUCUGUUGGCCUGGUCAAUUUGGUGUGCAAAUUGUUUGGGCUGUCCCUGGCUCAAACGUCAAUAAUAUGUUGAUAAUCUGGCUAAAAAGAGGGGCUAAGAAGGGUGAGAAUUGUGCACAAAAAGCGUGUUUUGGGCUAAAAGAAAACUUGGUCAACAACUUACCAGCCAAAAGCAAAAGUAAAGCUGUAAGAAAAUUAGGAAAACAAAUAUUAAA